UACGUAGGGUGCAAGCGUUGUCCGGAAUUAUUGGGCGUAAAGAGCUUGUAGGCGGUUUGUCGCGUCUGCUGUGAAAUUUCGGGGCUCAACCCCGAACUUGCAGUGGGUACGGGCAGACUAGAGUGUGGUAGGGGAGACUGGAAUUCCUGGUGUAGCGGUGAAAUGCGCAGAUAUCAGGAGGAACACCGGUGGCGAAGGCGGGUCUCUGGGCAACAACUGACGCUGAGGAGCGAAAGCGUGGGGAGCAAACGGG
rnacentral:rRNA from 1 species